AGCUGCACUGUGGGAAGAAACAGAGAUACUAAGAGAGGUUGGAGAUGUGUCACCAACGGAGAAUUAAGGAAGGGAGACAUAUGCCACUACUUCGUCCAUACGCAACUCACUCUUCAUGAAAGUGACAACCAUUGGACGGCUGCAGGUCUGGCAUCCAAAGACUCCAUCAGCCAGUGGGAGCUUCACAUCAGAGCCUCUGGUUCAGAGAUGGGACUGAGCUCCACAAGACUGCUGAGCCAAACAACGAAGUCCCAACCAAGAAACACAACAAUG